GACGAACGCUGGCGGCGUGCUUAACACAUGCAAGUCGAACGAGUGGCGAACGGGCGAGUAACACGAGGGUGACCUGCCCUGCACUUCGGGAUAAGCCUGGGAAACUGGGUCUAAUACAGGCAAGUGUGGGAUGGGCCCGGGGCCUAUCAGCUUGUUGGUGGGGUAAGGGCUACCAAGGCGCGACGGGUAGCCGGCCUGAGAGGGUGGACGAGCACAUUGGGACUGAGACACGGCCCAGACUCCUAGGGGAGGCAGCAGUGGGGAAUAUUGCACAAUGGGCGCAAGCCUGAUGCAACCAUGCCGCGUGUAUGAAGAAGGCCUUAGGGUUGUAGAGUACUGUCAGGGGGGAGGCGUUACCCGCAGGGGAAGCACCGGCUAACUCCGUGCCAGCCGCCGCGGUGAUUC
rnacentral:rRNA from 1 species